rnacentral:rRNA from 1 species
CAGUAACUGCGAGUGAACAGGGAUUAGCCCAGCACCGAAUCCUGUGGUCAUUUGGCUACUAGGAAAUGUGGUGUUCAGGUUGUUCCGCAAAGGUACUGCUCCACCCUAAGUCCAUCCAUGAGUGCGGUAGUUUGGACCAGGCCCAUAGAGGGUGAAAGGCCCGUGGGGGUGGAGACCAGGUAGGCCAGUACCUUUCUGGAUAGACCUUGGAGUCGGGUUGUUUGUGAAUGCAGCCCAAAGUGGGUGGUAAACUCCAUCCAAGGCUAAAUACUAGCACGAGUCCGAUAGCGAACAAGUACCGUGAGGGAAAGUUGAAAAGUACUUUGAAGAGAGAGUAAACAGUGCGUGAAACCGGUCAGAGGUAAGCGGGUGGAGUUGAACUGCAAGCUUUGGGAAUUCAGCUGGUGAGCGUGGCUUGAGCUUGGUUAAAUUGGUUGGACCCUGGAGUCUGCGUAGCAGCAGGCCUUCGCCUUUCGGGGUGGGGGUGCGCGAUGCACUUGUCACGUGCUGUGCGCUUCGGGUGUUUCAUCGGACCAGUUCGCCAGUGCAUUUUCUCAGAGUGGUCACCACGACGGGCAUUGCUGUCUGGCUGUUGCGGUUAAACCGGUUUGACAUUGUCCUUGUGGCUUUGCCAGAUCGGGAUGGCAGGUAGCUCGUUUGCUUGCUUGUGGCUUGCUGCAGGCGUUUGGCUUUCGAGUGUAAUCAGCUGACUGCAUCGGUUCUGUACAGUGUGUCUGAGACGGCGGCUAUGGUGUGUGCGUGCGUACCUGGUCGGUUGUCGCAUUCGGGUUUGGUUGUUUUGUAGCCUGUGAAUGCAGGCCUAAUGAUGGCCCGGGUGUGUUCGAUUGGCGGUGGCGUGCGUGACACGAUUUCAUGGGCCAAUAGUCUGUGGUGUAGUGGUAGACUAUCCACCUGACCCGUCUUGAAACACGGACCAAGGAGAGUAACAUGUGCGCGAGUCAUUGGGCGUUACGAAACCCAAAGGCGUAGUGAAAGUGAAGGCUGGGCUUGUCCUAGCUGAGGUGAGAUCUUGUCGUUUCUCAUGCGUGGUACCACCAAGCUUCGAGCGGCAGGCGCAUCACCGGCCCGUCCCAUGACAUUAUCCAGUCGGGGCGGAGCAUGAGCGUACAUGUUGAGACCCGAAAGAUGGUGAACUAUGCUUGCGCAGGUUGAAGCCAGAGGAAACUCUGGUGGAGGACCGAAGCGGUUCUGACGUGCAAAUCGAUCGCCAGACGUGAGUAUAGGGGCGAAAGACUAAUCGAACCAUCUAGUAGCUGGUUCCCUCCGAAGUUUCCCUCAGGAUAGCUGGCAUUCUGAGAGACAAACAGUUUUAUCCGGUAAAGCGAAUGAUUAGAGGCCUUGGGGGCGAAACGCUCUCAACCUAUUCUCAAACUUUAAAUGGGUGAGAAGCCUGACUCGCCUAAACGGAGUUGGGCGUUGAAUGUGAGUGCCAAGUGGGCCAUUUUUGGUAAGCAGAACUGGCGCUGUGGGAUGAACCAAACGUUCAGUUAAGGUGCCUAACAUGACGCUCAUCAGAUACCACAAAAGGUGUUGGUUGGUCUAGACA